rnacentral:rRNA from 1 species
UAGGACGGUCAGAGGAGCCGGGUUCCACCUGGUCUCAUUCGAACCCAGCAGUUAAGCCGGCUUCCGUAUUCAGGUGUACUUCGUUCCGAGGGAAACUGAGUAAGCUGUCCACC